UCUGUUAUUCUGUUAUAACCACCGGCUUGGACUCCCGUCUCUCUUCCUUAUAGGCGACGGCGGUUGCUAGGCAGAGCGGCAGCGACGGGACGAACUUCUUGCGGCAUCCUCUGGUUUUCCGGCGUGGUCUUCUCCUCCGACCGAGGCGUAGCAGCCGCCGACCUCCUCACCCUCUCGUCUCUCUGUACCUCUCUCUCCAGCGUAGCGUGGGUUGUUUCUCCUUGAGCGACGAACGGAGCUACGGCAGUAGCGGAGGUGACGGCGGCGGCAGUGUCUUCCCCGGCGAAUCUUGGAACCGUAGCCUGACUGAGUACCUCACCCCGAUUCAACGAUCUCGGCUCACUCUGCUCACUGGACAGCCGUAGCUCCGGCAGCGACGGCAACGAUCUCGGCCCCGCAGCACACCGGCAGCGACCGCAACGGCAGACACGGCACGACUUCGGAGUGAACAGUGUUGGAUCUUCUGCGCAGCAACUUAAGUGUUUCUCUCUUUUGUCCUCCUCGUAGCAACAGAUUCUCUCCAUUCUCUGAGGUCAUCAUGUUGAGUUUUUGGUCAGAUCACCAAAAAGUCAUAGCGGAGAACAAAGAGCUGCACAAGGUGAAGGAAGAACUCCUUAAGGAGGUGAAGUAUCUUCAGGAGAAGCGAGAGCACCACGAAGGACUGGCGAAUGUGCUUGUGGCCCAUAAAGCAGAUGUGGAUGCUCUUGUGAUUAGCCAGCUGACAGAAAUCGAAAAACUUAAGCAGCUCCUCAAAAUACAAGAAGGCUAUCUUCAGCAGCAAAAGGAUACGUGGAAUGAACUGAAGGGCCUCCUUCAAAAGAGAAAUAAAGAAGUGGAUGAUGUGGUGGCCUUAGGCUUUUCUUGCCUACCAUCAUCAUCCACUGAUUAGGGUGAUUAGGUAUGAAGGGGUGUGACCUUCAUUUUUAUCAGUUUCUUCUUUCACUACUUGCAUUAAACUUUGUUGUUUUUUGUUGAAUGCAUGGAGAAGAAUAGAACCCCAGAAUCCAAAUAUCUUCUGAUUAGGGUGAUUAGGUAUGAAGGGGUGUGACCUUCAUUUUUAUCAGUUUCUUCUUUCACUACUUGCAUUAAACUUUGUUGUUUUUUGUUGAAUGCAUGGAGAAGAAUAGAACCCCAGAAUCCAAAUAUCUUCUGAUUAGGGUGAUUAGGUAUGAAGGGGUGUGACCUUCAUUUUUAUCAGUUUCUUCUUUCACUACUUGCAUUAAACUUUGUUGUUUUUUGUUGAAUGCAUGGAGAAGAAUAGAACCCCAGAAUCCAAAUAUCUUCUGAUUAGGGUGAUUAGGUAUGAAGGGGUGUGACCUUCAUUUUUAUCAGUUUCUUCUUUCACUACUUGCAUUAAACUUUGUUGUUUUUUGUUGAAUGCAUGGAGAAGAAUAGAACCCCAGAAUCCAAAUAUCUUCUGAUUAGGGUGAUUAGGUAUGAAGGGGUGUGACCUUCAUUUUUAUCAGUUUCUUCUUUCACUACUUGCAUUAAACUUUGUUGUUUUUUGUUGAAUGCAUGGAGAAGAAUAGAACCCCAGAAUCCAAAUAUCUUCUGAUUAGGGUGAUUAGGUAUGAAGGGGUGUGACCUUCAUUUUUAUCAGUUUCUUCUUUCACUACUUGCAUUAAACUUUGUUGUUUUUUGUUGAAUGCAUGGAGAAGAAUAGAACCCCAGAAUCCAAAUAUCUUCUAGCGUGAA